rnacentral:misc_RNA from 1 species
CCUCCUUUCUAAGGAUAAACGAUAACUAGUUCGCUAGUUAUCCGGGUUGUUGCCUUCUUAUCUCUUCAUUUUGUAGCUUGCUAUGUGUACCAUAACGUAAUCUGGGCUAGUAGCUCAGUUGGUUAGAGCGCGCGCUUGAUAAGCGUGAGGUCGGAGGUUCAAGUCCUCCCUGGCCCACCAUUUUUUUUUGGGGGAUUAGCUCAGCUGGGAGAGCGCCUGAUUUGCAUUCAGGAGGUCAGCGGUUCAAUCCCGCUAUCCUCCACCAUUAAAUAAAUAGCUAUUUGUCUUAUUUGUUCUUUAAAUUGUAAAUAUGAAAUUAGUAACUGAUCAAAUAUUUAUUAUAAAAUCAAUACGUACAUAAAAUUUUUCUCUGUACGUAAUUGCAAUCAAGCGCAAAAGGGCAUUUAGUGGAUGCCUUGGCAUCAAGAGACGAUGAAGGACGUGGCAGGCUGCGAAAAGCUAAGGGGAGUUGUCAACACACUUUGAUCCUUAGAUUCCGAAUGGGGAACCAAGGGCG